CGGGGUUGGUUAACACAGGGUUGUGCGCGUUCACGACAAACCUAUAAAGACGUGAUGUAUGGAUCAUGGAAAUCCUGAUCAAUAUGGCGAAACGGGUCGCAUAUUUCACUGAUCUCGACCUCCAGGUUCUCCUGGAGAGUUACGAUGAGGAAAAGGGAGUGAUAAUGAGGAAAUGCAACACUAAAGCAUCUGCCAUAAUGAGAAAUAAAGCCUGGCAGAGGAUAGCUGACCGCGUAAAUUCAUGUAAUCCGACGGCCCCCAAACAAACUUUGGAACAAGUAAAAAUGAAAUACAAAAACGUUGUACAAGCUGAUCAAGACAGAGAAUUGUUUUUAAUCGAGCCGGCUACGAAUGAACAUCCUCCAGUUUAUGAGACCGACGAAAAUAUUGCCAUGGAUGGGUCUGAAAGAACUGAGACUGUGGUCGAGGAAGCGGCGGGUACAUAUCCUAGGCUACUCACUUACUUUAUUGGCCAAGUAUGUCGCUUGAAUGUUAAAACCAUAUUUUCCUCUAUUUCAGUUGACGACUAAAGAAUUAUAUUGUCUACACAAAGCUGCUGAUAGAGGUAAAAAAGGAGGUUGGGCAGAAAUUCAACGCGGACAUGAUAUUGCUAUUUAAUGCCUAAUUGUAUUAUUUUGUCUCCCUCAGCAACUAAAGAAUAAAAA